AUACGUAGGGGGCAAGCGUUAUCCGGAAUUACUGGGUGUAAAGGGAGAGUAGGCGGCAUGAUAAGUUAGAUGUGAAAGCCUUGGGCUUGACCCGAGGAUUGCAUUUAAAACUAUCAAGCUAGAGUACAGGAGAGGUAAGUGGAAUUCCUAGUGUAGCGGUGAAAUGCGUAGAUACUAGGAAGAACACCAGUGGCGAAGGCGGCUUACUGGUCCAUUACUGACGCUGAGGUGCGAAAGCGUGGGGAGC
rnacentral:rRNA from 1 species